rnacentral:tRNA from 1 species
GGGAAUAUGGCUUAGUGGUAGAGUGCUUGCCUAGUAUGCAUGAACCCCUAGAUUCUAUUCCUC